rnacentral:ncRNA from 2 species
CGUCUUCGGGGCGGGGUGCAAUUCCCCACCGGCGGUACAGCCCGCGACCUUCCGCAAAACGGAAGCCGAACCGGUGGAAUUCCGGUGCCGACAGUAAAGUCUGGAUGAGAGAGGACA